CCUACGGGAGGCAGCAGUGGGGGAUAUUGCACAAUGGGGGAAACCCUGAUGCAGCGACGCCGCGUGUGGGAAGACGGUCCUCUGGAUUGUAAACCACUUUCCCCAGGGACGAAGAUGACGGUACCUGGGGAGGAAGCUCCGGCUAACUACGUGCCAGCAGCCGCGGUAAUACGUAGGGGGCAAGCGUUAUCCGGAUUUACUGGGUGUAAAGGGCGCGUAGACGGCCAGACAAGUCAGAAGUGAAAGCCCAGGGCUCAACCCUGGGACUGCGUUGGAAACUGCCGGGCUGGAGUGCAGGAGAGGUAAGCGGAAUUCCUAGUGUAGCGGUGAAAUGCGUAGAUAUUAGGAGGAACACCAGUGGCGAAGGCGGCUUACUGGACUGUAACUGACGUUGAGGCUCGAAAGCGUGGGGAGCAAACAGGAUUAGAUACCCGGGUAGUC
rnacentral:rRNA from 1 species